CGAUUUUUAUUGCUACUGAUUUUUUAGAUUGCUCUCGGUUUUUUUACAAUGAAAUGAACCGGCAGCCAUCCAUGUAUUCCAUAUAUAUAUAUAUGAAGUAAAUCAGCAGUCAAUCAACCAACGAAGUAAAUCGGCAGCCAUUCAACCAAUCAGCCAUAUAUCCAUAUAUAACAUGUAUUCCAUAUAUAACACAAAUCAUAUCACAAUUUAGGAUUAAGCGGUAGUGUUUCCAUGUAGAGCCGAAAUCUUCCACAUUUAGCCAAAAAAACAUAGGAGGGCCAGGCGAGCCAGAGUUUGCCAUCGGAGCAAAAAUCAAAGGAGGAAAAAAACAAACGUGGCCUCCCUUUCCUCCGCAAUCGGAUCCCUGCCAGCAUGGCCAUGCCGCCGCCGCCUGCAGAGUCCGCCCGGAUGGAGGAAGCGCUUGGGGCGAGGGAGAGGUCUAGGCGUCGUCCCGGUGCUCGUCUCCCUCUGGUGUCCGGUGUUGUCUGCUGGCUGCUGCUGCUGUGUGCGCGGGAGAUUGGGAGGAGGCUUCAGAUGGGAUGGAAGAAUUUUAUACUGAUUAACUAUCUUCUGUGGGAAGCUUCAGCUGUUGAUUUCAGCAGAAGAUGUGUGGUGUGCUGCUGCUAUUUCGGCGACAACGCUAACACAGAGAUUGGUACUUUGGUGUGUUCCUUGGAUGGACGACCGGUCAAGGUCAGAUGAUCAAUUCACUUCUUGGCUGCCGCUGCCAAGUUUACUAUUAUGAAUCUAAUCCCUCCUAUUAUUCUCUUGUUGUUACAAAUCUGCUCACUUCACAAUGUUUUGGCGUGACAUGCUUUGGGCGGCUUGCUUUCACACAUGGAACAAACUGAUUAUAUUUAUUUUCAGGUACAAAGAUUAUUUGCAGGAGUACAAAGAGAAAUAUAAAGUCUACCCUUACUUGAAUAGUCAGAUAGAUAAAACACAGUAUUGUUACACUGAAUUUUCCUUUUAAAGUUCCCCUUUGUAUUCUGUUUAUUUCUUAAGUCCAUGUCAUGUUAUCUCCUAUAAUUGGCCUGCUUGUUACGCAAUUUUGAAGCUAAAGGUUCAUGCGGAUUUCAAUGUUGCUAAAGAAAGAUACAACGAUCGGUGCUACAUUGUUGAAAGACUCAAAGACAUGUAUCAUGAGUCAGACACAGUAAUUAAGUUUUCUACAUGCCUUUUCCUUACUAACUAAACCUGAGUACAUGAUUAUUUUCAGUUUUCUCAGAGGAGCGGUAGCGAAGGGAACACACAACAGUUGUUGUCAUAUGCACCACGGGCACGGUGGGUGGUAGAUUACGCGGACACUGGGCGUCGUCUUGCUUCUUUUGUUCUGCUUAUUAAUUAAUUCUCUAUCUAUUUAUGAUGAUGCAAUUUUGGGUUGUGUGUGUGCUGCUGCUGCUUACACAUAACAAAUAAUAUUGAUAUGAAUUUUUCUUCUUCAGUUGCUAAUGCACUGAUAUGUUAUUGUUCAUGCACAUGUACUUUAGCACCCACAUUUCCAUGUCUCCUUCAAUUUGUUGCAGAUUUCUUCCAAGUAUAGUGAGCUACUUUAUUAAUGUGAACUUUUACUUCUUGCAGUUGCUAAUGUAUUGAUAUUUUUUUGUUCAUGCUCAUGUGUUGUAGCUCCCACAUCUUUCUCUGUCUCCUUCAAUUUGUUGUUCAUGCUCAUGUGAUGUAGACUACACACGGCAUGCCGGUGCAGGAGGUGGCGUUGCGAUGUGUUGGAUCUGAUCUUUUUUCUCCUGCUAUACGGUUGCUUUGAGUGGUGAUGCCAGGAAUGAGGAGCGGACACCUACGUCAUGUGUCACCAGUGGAGGAAGGAAGGCAAGAAGAAGCUCUCCAACACCAACUUCACAUUGUUCCGUAGUUUGAUUCGUUAUAUUUUCCCCGAGUUCCAUGUUCCCCCCUUUUCCAUUCCAUGCAUGCGUUGUGUUGUGUGUGGUAAAGUAAUUUCAAGAAGAAUCAUCGUGCGCAAUUAUUUACGUGUGUUGCUAUAUUUGCCGGUGAAUUUGCAGGACAUUUAAAUGCAUUAGUUAACUAGGGCGUUUGUGUUGAUCUAGGACAUCUGGACGUAGCUGUUCUACUCCUUAUUUAGCCAGAAGAAUUCCUAGCUGGGACGAAGAUUCAACACGAGAUCUAAAGUUCCGCCUGAAGCCAAACAUUCAGUUGUUGACAACAUUGUUUGAUAGUUGUCCAGGAAAUUGCAGGGAUGUGUCUGCCUCCAGCAAAACGUGACAAUGGUUCCAGCAAAAUGCCAUGCUGGUUGCAGCGUUACAUUGAUCUUGCAGCAAACAUGGGCUCCCGUUCCAGCAAAACAAAACGCCGGUUCCAGCAAAUCGUAACGCCAAUUGCAACAUUGUCGUGGCGUCCCCGCCGUUCUCCACCGUCGCACCACCGCGGCUCGUGGUAGCUCUUCCGAAUGCUGGUUGUGGUUCCAGCACUUUGUGCGGUCGGUUGCAACAUUAAUUGGCUCGCUGUCCGUCGUUCAACUCCAGCGACGCGUCGCUCGUCGCGCCAUGGCCAUGUGUCGUUGCAGCUCCACCCCACCCCUUACGAAGCUCUGGGUGGUUGCAGAUUUCGUCGGCUGUGGUUUGCAUGCCGCGUGGAGGGAGGAGGUGUGGAUCUCGCCGGCGCGCGCUCCGUCUCGUAUCUCCGUCCACCUCUGGUAUCAGCUCGCCGGCGCAUAGUCGAGGGGAGCCGCGGGGCGCGCUCGGACGACUGGGGAGCAGAUGGGGAGCAAGAGAGCGGAAGAGGAAGGCAACCAUAGCGAAGGGAUAAGGUGGGGUCACGGUCUGUUCUGGCCACAUGAUGACUCCCGAUCGAACGUCCCGCGCACGACCGGCCCAAUGUUCGGCCGACGCGCCGGCUAUAAAUGUUUUUAAUUGUAUACUCUCGUGGAAUGGCAAAGAAUUGGUGCAUCUGAUUUGUACGGUGAGUAUUCACUGUUGCACAUUUUAAGACCUUCAACAUCAAUAAUAUUCUUGUUAACUA